AUGACAAGUGACAGACAGCGGAUAAUGCAGGGAGGUCAGGUGGGCUGCCAGGCCCAGAGCCAAUUGCUCCCUGGAGCCCAUCAACAAGGGACGGGACUCAGCAGGACCAGGUCGGCAGCCAUCCUGGUUAGCUUCCAGCGGGUACAGGGAGAAAUCACAGCUGGCAGAAGCCCGGACUCCUGGUGCCACUCCAACACAGUGAGGGUAGAGGAAGCUUUAGGAUUUCCACAGUGUGAAGUACCAAGUGAUAGUCUCCUGUGGACCUUCAUGUGCCAUGGCACCACCACAUAUCUGAUGUUCAUAUGGAAGACCCUGUGAGCAGCUGGUUGGUGGGAGGCCCUGGUAACUGGCUUGACACAACCCGGGUCAUUGUGCCAAUAGCAGAACUCAUACCUCAUCUUGCAUGGCCACUCAGCCGCACCUGUCCCAGAGACUCCGCCCUUCACCUGCACUUGCCCUUGCAGACAGUCCUUGGGUCACAAAGAAAUCACUGGAAGAAUCAGAUAAGAAAAUUAUGGAAUGAUUGUUUGCAGAAUCUGUGUUGACUUAGAGCAAGUUGCAAGUGGGAGAUACAAGGAGCAGAAGCAGGCAGGCCACGCUGAGAACAGAGAAAGCCAGGGCUUGUGUGAUCUCCUUGGUUCACUGCUUGCCUGAUAUCCUAUAAACAAAUGGGAAUUUGAUUAAACCAUCACCUGGCAGUGUUCCUUUUCAGCAAACACUGUGUUAAGGAUCUGUGCUCACCUAAGAACUAACGCAGAAUGGUCAUGUUGUAACUUUCAGUCACCUCUGUGAAAAACCUGGCCACAUUCAGAAGAGAAAGCAUACAUACAUUUCCACUCACAUGAUAGGCCUGUUUACUGUCUUUAUGUAUUGAAGGAGUAAGAACAAUAAAUACCUAAGGCAGAAUUUCAUAUCCUGACUCCACAGCAAAUCCCAAAAAUGGCUAGGGACCAUCAGUAGGCCAGCAUGACCAGCAGGACCUAACCUUAACACUGAGGAUGUGGAAGGUUAUGCUGUGCUAUUAACUUCUGUGUAAUCCCAGCUGCUUGGGACGCUGAGACGGUAGAAUCACUUGAACCCGGGAGGCGAGGUUGCAGUGAGCCAAGAUCGUGCCAUUGCACUCCAGCCUGGGUGACAGAGUGAGACUCCAUCUCAAAAAAAUAAAAAACUUUCUCCAAUUAAAAUUGCUAACGCUGGUGACAGGGAAAACUGGGCAGAGAACAGAUCCCUCCCUACAUUGAAGCAAGCACCAUGGGAGAAGACUUUCAAGGUCUUUGUGAGUUUGGCCUUCAGAAAUUCAAAUCUUGCAGCUUGAGUAUAUGCAUAGGAUAUAAGAACUAGAAGAAAGUUAAAAAAGUAUUUUUUACUUUAUGGUAUAGGUGAGUAAACUGUCCCUGCAAAAUGCAGUGACAAAUACCAAGUAAACAUAUAAUUAGUAGUACAACUGGUUGAGAUUCACUGCUGCGUUGUAUCCUCACCAAAGGAAGCCUAUUUUUCAUAACUACUGAAAUACUUCAUCAGAUCUUUGUUGAACAGAGAUUGAGAAAGGUCCAAGGAACAGAAAGAAAGAGACACUUCAAAAAAUGCAAUGAGUUCAUUCAAGCUUCCUGAUGAUGGUAAGUAUGUGACAUCCUGAUAUUUACAGGACAAUUAAUUCUGGACACUGGAUCUUCAUAACCUCAGUUGCCCUUGGGAACCUGGUGCUUCUUUUCUUCCAUCCCUGUCUCCGGGUGGCCAUUUGGAACUGCCUUCUGUAUGGCUGAGACAAGUGGGAACUCUCCCUCUUAUUUCUGCAGCAUGUUGGUGAAAAGCUCUCAGCAAAAGGUUCUGGCCAAGGGUAAACCAAGCCUUUGCUUCCAGAGGCUAGAAGAUCAGGUAGGUCCAGAUUAUCAUCGAGUCAGUGGGCAGCAAGGCUAAUGUUCAUGCAUCCUGUCCCAUUCUAAAAUCCCAGUCUCAUCUAGAAAAUCCAUCUCUUUGGACAGGCCAACACUGACACAAUGCACUUAGAUUUGGAAGAAAUGUCCAGUGUGUUCGUGGGGGUAACCAUUAGGUUAGAGUGGGCAAGAAGAUUAGUGUGAGGCCAUAGUUAAUACUCUUCCCAAGGGAAAACUCAAUGAGGUUCCCGCCUGCACUGAUGCCAAUAUGGGGCUCACUGGCCACCCGGAGACAGGGAUGGAAGAAAAGAAGCACCAGGUUCCCAAGGGCAACUGAGCUUAUGAAGAUCCAGUGUCCAGAAUUAAUUGACCUAUAAAUACCAGGAUGUCACAUGCUCACCAUGUUCUGUUCUCCUGUCUGUUCUGUCCAUAUCAGAAGCACAAUAUUCAAUUCUGGGUAGAGCACUUUAAGAAGCUUGUUGGAAAAUUGUUCCUCCUAAAUGCCCUAAAUGUGUAGUGAAUACUGCUUAGGAUGGUGAGAAACACUCUGGUCUUGAUAAGAGAGUAAUAGAAAAUUCCAGAGAUGUUUUGUAUGGAGAAGAGAAAUACUCGAGACGGACAUAAAAGUAAUGUCCCAGCAUGUAAAGAGCUGCCAGAACAAGUUGAGAUUUUUCUUAUUCUUAUGGCUCUAAAGAGCAAAACUAGGAGCAGAUUUAUUUUCUACAUAAAUACAAACUUUCCAACAAAACAAACAAAAGAAGCAUCCUAAAUAUUGAACACAGUUUGUAAAGCAGUAAGUCUCCCAUACAGAGGAGUCUGAGGAGAAACUAGGAAAUUAUAAGCAAAGAUGUCAAGGGCAUUUAUUCCUCUACUAAGAGUGCCACAGAGGAUCUUUAAGGCUUCUGACAGCCUUAAGAUUCAAGAGCUCUGUGCCUGGAGGUAGAAGAGAGACAAAUUAUGAGCCUCUGCAUGACAUAUUUCUUUUUCAUUUCCUGACCAUUCAAUUGCAUUGCUAAGUGGACUCUUAGUUGGGGAAGGCACUUAGGUAGCAAGCUAAUCAGAUGUUGGAGAAGACACAUUCAAGUGAAUUUUGUGCAGGACAGAACAAAAUUCAGAAAGGCAAGCAGCUGCUCAGAGACUAUAUUCUUCAUGUCUCCUUGGGACACCUCUUCUUGUAUGUGACUUAUCUAGUUGGGAAAGUUUUUCUGUUGCAAUUUCAAUUCAUCUUCCCUCCUCCUAGUUACUCACGAAAGGCUACUCUUUAGGGGUGUGAGGACCUGAAGCCAUUUAGUUAUUGGAAGGAAUACAGACAGAGCAAAUAACUGUCGCAUUCCACUGGGUCGUACCCUUCCUCUUUCAUAUAGCCUCAAAGAAAAAAGCCUCCUCUUACCAUAUGCAUUUUAUUUUUACUCUCUGUUUAUGGGAUUUCGAAGUGUAGCCUUGAAAUAAUUACAUUUUUGCGAAACAAUAACUCUGGAAUAAGCUUAGCAGAUAGUAUUUGGAGAAAGAAGAGUUCCCCAUAAGCUGCACUGCACAGAGCCCGAGUCAAAUGAAUUUCUUCUUCCUUGAAAACAACCUAAGCUAUCUUGAUACUUGGAGCUAGAAUUCUAGAAAAAUACAGAGAAUCUAGAACACCCAGUGUGAAGCCACUUGACUCAAGGGGACUGAAGAGCUUGUUCAGCCAUUCACAUCAGUGAUGCACAGGAAGAGAACAUGAAAAUCCUGAGCACUCAAGCCAAACUCUCACCUUCAGUUGUAGUAGGAUGAUGGCAGUAACACCUUGCAUUUACUUAAUACAUGACAAUUUAUUAUACAUUUAAGACUUUUACAUUUUAUAAGUCUGGAUGUUGAAAUAGUUUACAAAAUAGUUUACAAAAUUAAAAAAAAAUAAUGUUUAGAAACUCCAGGUGGCCCUUCUACCAUGAAAGGACACAGUGAGAAGAUACUAUCUAUGAGAAAGAAGGCCGUUGCCAGGCACCCAAUCUGCUGGUGCCUUGAUCUUUAACUUCCCAACCUCCACAGUUGUAAGAAGUAAAUUUCGGUUGUUUAUAAGCAAAAAAAAAAGAGAGAGAGAGAGAAAGAGGAGGAAGAAGAAGACGACGAGGAGGAGGAGGAAGAGGAAGGAGGAGGAAGGAGAAAGAAAAAGAGAAGAAACUCCAAGUGGCUUUCACAAAGUCACCUCAGUAGUAAGAGGCAGAACUAAGACUCAAACCUAUGUCUUCCACCGCUAAGGCCAGUCAUCUUUCUACUAUAAAGAACCUGUGCUCUGUAACAAGUGUUAUUUGCUUAUAUUUUCUUUAUUUCUUUACUUUUUAAAAACCUUUUUAGCAGUGUUCCUUCUGGGAAUUUUAAACUACAUUUCAGCAUUGCUCAGCUUUCAUAGAAAAACUCUGUUCUGUGGAAGCCAUGGAGCUAUUUAAGGCUUAGAGGAUUUCCCAUAGUGAAGUACCACCAACUGGGUGGCUUGCACUCCAGAAACUUACUGUCUCACAGUUCUGGAGGCUGGAAGUCCAGGACCAAGGUGUUGACAGAGUUGGCUCCUUCUGAGGGCUGUGAGGAAAGGGUCUGUUCCAGACCUCUCUCCUUGGCUUGUAGAUGGCCGGGUUAAUGUUCACACGCAGUGUUCUAUGUGUGUCUGCGUUCAAAUGCAAAUGCCUCCUUUUGUAAGGACAUUAGUCAUAUUGGAUUAGGGGCUGACCUGACUGCAGCAUGACCUUAUCUUAACUAAUUAUAUCUGCAAUGACCCUAUCUUCAAAUAAGGUCACUUUCUGAGAUACUGGGGCUGAGGAGUCCAACAUAUAUUUCUUGGAAGACACAAUGCAACUCAUAGCAAAAAGUAUCCUAGAAAUCACUAUAAAAUGAACAUUACUAUAAAACGCCAUUAUCCCCCUUUUUUUCUACCUAAUACGUUUGCUCACAAGACAAGAAUGCACUUAAACACGUUAAUAUGUAUGUUUGAGCAUGUGCAUGGAUAUGCACAUAUAGCAGAAAGAAGGGGUAGUUAACUAAGGCAACAAGGCAGCAUGACCUACCAG
ensembl:lncRNA